rnacentral:rRNA from 1 species
GAUGAACGCUAGCGGCAGGCUUAACACAUGCAAGUCGAGGGGUAACAGAGGUAGCUUGCUACUUGCUGACGACCGGCGCACGGGUGCGUAACGCGUAUAGAAUCUGCCUCAUACUGAGGGAUAGCCUUUGGAAACGAAGAUUAAUACCUCAUACGCCCUACGGGGGAAAGGAGGGGACCUUCGGGCCUUUCGCGAUUGGAUGAACCUAGGUGGGAUUAGCUAGUAGGUGGGGUAAUGGCUCACCUAGGCAACGAUCCCUAGCUGGUCUGAGAGGAUGAUCAGCCACACUGGAACUGAGACACGGUCCAG